UACGGAGGAUGCGAGCGUUAUCCGGAUUUAUUGGGUUUAAAGGGUGCGUAGGCGGCACGGCAAGCCGGCGGUCAAAUCGCGGGGCUCAACCCCGCCCAGCUGUCGGAACUGCCGGGCUAGAGUGGGCGAGAAGUGCGCGGAAUGCGUGGUGUAGCGGUGAAAUGCAUAGAUAUCACGCAGAGCUCCGAUUGCGAAGGCAGCGCACCGGCGCCCUACUGACGCUCAGGCACGAAAGCGUGGGUAUCGAACAGG
rnacentral:rRNA from 1 species